rnacentral:rRNA from 1 species
UACGUAGGGAGCAAGCGUUGUCCGGAAUCAUUGGGCGUAAAGCGCGCGUAGGCGGCCCUGUAAGUCCGUUGUGAAAGUCAAAGGCUCAACCUUUGAAAGCCGAUGGAUACUGCAGGGCUAGAGUCCGGAAGAGGCGAGUGGAAUUCCUGGUGUAGCGGUGGAAUGCGCAGAUAUCAGGAGGAACACCGGUGGCGAAGGCGGCAUCCUGGACCGGCAUUGACGCUGAGGCGCGAAAGCCAGGGGAGCAAACGGG